rnacentral:rRNA from 1 species
AAUACGUUCCCGGGCUUGUACACACCGCCCGUCACACCACGAAAGUCGGCAACACCCGAAGCCGGUGGCCUAACCCUUUUGGGAGGGAGCCGUCGAAGGUGGGGUUGGUGAUUGGGGUG